rnacentral:lncRNA from 1 species
GAUGGAAGAGGAGAAGAAAAUGUCAUCGCUGUGAUAGUAUGAGCCGAGGGCCAGACUGUGAGAGUCGUAAGCCGAGGGCCAGAUUGUGAGAGCUGUGAGCUGAGGUAAGCUUGGUGCUACCUCUUUUCUUUUGUUUGUUAUUUUCUUUAAAUAAGAGGAUUGAAAGUUUCUGAAUAUUAUGAAGUGAAUUAUGGAAAUGUGAUUGGUAUUAUUUGAGAAGAAGAAAGAUUGAAUGCUGAAAUCUGAUUAUAGUUCAGCAGAGAGAAUGAGUCUGUGUUUGUGUGAAACACUGUAAUGUGAAUGGCAGUUCUGUGUGAAGAAUUUCAAAGAUUGGAACGA